rnacentral:rRNA from 1 species
UACGUAGGGACCGAGCGUUGUCCGGAUUCAUUGGGCGUAAAGAGCUCGUAGGCGGCUGCUCAAGUCGAGUGUGAAAACUCGAGGCUCAACCUCGAGCCUGCAUUCGAUACUGGGCGGCUAGAGUCUGGUAGGGGGAUCUGGAAUUCCUGGUGUAGCGGUGGAAUGCGCAGAUAUCGGAAAGAACACCAGUGGCGAAGGCGGCUGUCUGGGCUCACACUGACACUGAGGCACGAAAGCGUGGGGAGCGAACAGG